UACGAAGGGGGCUAGCGUUGUUCGGAAUUACUGGGCGUAAAGCGCACGUAGGCGGGUUUGUAAGUAGGGGGUGAAAUCCCAGGGCUCAACCCUGGAACUGCCCUCUAGACUGCAGGCCUGGAGGUCAGGAGAGGCGAGUGGAAUACCGAGUGUAGAGGUGAAAUUCGUAGAUAUUCGGUGGAACACCAGUGGCGAAGGCGACUCGCUGGACUGAUACUGACGCUGAGGUGCGAAAGCGUGGGGAGCAAACAGG
rnacentral:rRNA from 1 species